rnacentral:rRNA from 1 species
UGGGGAAUUUUGGACAAUGGGCGCAAGCCUGAUCCAGCAAUGCCGCGUGCAGGAAGAAGGCCUUCGGGUUGUAAACUGCUUUUGUACGGAGCGAAAAGGCUCUCUCUAAUACAGGGGGUUCAUGACGGUACCGUAAGAAUAAGCACCGGCUAACUACGUGCCAGCAGCCGCGGUAAUACGUAGGGUGCGAGCGUUAAUCGGAAUUACUGGGCGUAAAGCGUGCGCAGGCGGUUUUGUAAGACAGGCGUGA